rnacentral:rRNA from 1 species
AUGAACGCUGGCGGCGCCUAAUACAUGCAAGUCGAGCGAACAGACGAGGAGCUUGCUCCUCUGACGUUAGCGGCGGACGGGUGAGUAACACGUGGAUAACCUACCUAUAAGACUGGGAUAACUUCGGGAAACCGGAGCUAAUACCGGAUAAUAUAUUGAACCGCAUGGUUCAAUAGUGAAAGACGGUUUUGCUGUCACUUAUAGAUGGAUCCGCGCCGCAUUAGCUAGUUGGUAAGGUAACGGCUUACCAAGGCGACGAUGCGUAGCCGACCUGAGAGGGUGAUCGGCCACACUGGAACUGAGACACGGUCCAGACUCCUACGGGAGGCAGCAGUAGGGAAUCUUCCGCAAUGGGCGAAAGCCUGACGGAGCAACGCCGCGUGAGUGAUGAAGGUCUUCGGAUCGUAAAACUCUGUUAUUAGGGAAGAACAAAUGUGUAAGUAACUAUGCACGUCUUGACGGUACCUAAUCAGAAAGCCACGGCUAACUACGUG